rnacentral:lncRNA from 1 species
GCCUGUGGAGCGAGCGACACUCACCCCUCCCUGGGGCGGGGGGACCUUUAUGGAGCUUGCCCCUCCCCAGGCAGGGGGCUUUGUGAAGCUCACCCCUCCCCAGGCGGGGGGCUUUGUGGAGCUCACCCCUCCCCAGGCAGGGGGCUUUGUGAAGCUCACCCCUCCCUGGGUGGGGGGCUUUGUGAAGCUCACCCCUCCCUGGGGUGGGGGGCUUUGUGGAGCUCACCCCUCCCUGGGGCGGGGGGCUUUGUGAAGCUCACCCCUCCCUGGGGCGGGGGGCUUUGUGGAGCUCACCCCUCCCUGGGGCGGGGGGCUUUGUGGAGCUCACCCCUCCCUGGGGUGGGGGGCUUUGUGAAGCUCACCCCUCCCUGGGUGGGGGGCUUUGUGAAGCUCACCCCUCCCUGGGUGGGGGGCUUUGUGGAGCUCACCCCUCCCUGGGGCGGGGGGCUUUGUGAAGCUCACCCCUCCCUGGGGCGGGGGGCUUUGUGGAGCUCACCCCUCCCUGGGGCGGGGGGCUUUGUGGAGCUCACCCCUCCCUGGGGUGGGGGGCUUUGUGAAGCUCACCCCUCCCUGGGUGGGGGGCUUUGUGGAGCUCACCCCUCCCUGGGGCGGGGGGCUUCGUGGAGCUCACCCCUCCCCGGGGUGGGGGGCUUCGUGGAGCUCACCCCUCCCCGGGGUGGGGGGCUUCGUGGAGCUCACCCCUCCCCGGGGUGGGGGGCUUUGUGGAGCUCACCCCUCCCUGGGUGGGGGGCUUUGUGGAGCUCACCCCUCCCUGGGGCGGGGGGCUUUGUGGAGCUCACCCCUCCCUGGGGCGGGGGGCUUUGUGGAGCUCACCCCUCCCUGGGGUGGGGGGGGCUUUGUGGAGCUCACCCCUCCCUGGGGCGGGGGGCUUUGUGGAGCUCACCCCUCCCUGGGGCGGGGGGCUUUGUGGAGCUCACCCCUCCCUGGGGCGGGGGGCUUUGUGGAGCUCACCCCUCCCUGGGGCGGGGGGCUUUGUGGAGCUCACCCGUCCCUGGGGCGGGGGGCUUUGUGGAGCUCACCCGUCCCUGGGGCGGGGGGCUUUGUGGAGCUCACCCCUCCCUGGGUGGGGGGCUUUGUGGAGCUCACCCGUCCCUGGGGCGGUGUGGGGAGCAACUCAGCCUAGACUGUUACUGGAAUUAA